UUUUUUUUUUUUUUUAAAAAGGAAGAAUGAAGGGUUAAAAAAAAAAAGCAAAAUUUGAAGCAAGCAGUCUUAAGGUAGAGAGAGAGCCGGGGAUUGUGGACAGCCCUCCCUGCUCCUCCCUAAAACCUCCCAGGAUCUCCCUUGCAACUAUAGGGUGGUGGGCACAAACUGGGGUGGGUGCAGGCUGGCUCUGCCCUCCACUGCUGCUCCUGUUCUGGUCUUGGCCAGUGCAAGAGCAGAGGCCUUGGUGAGUCCCACCCAAGGGCAACCUCUGGUUCAGCCAGUGGAAGAACAGGCCUAGCUGGUCCAUCCAGUGCCCAGAGGGCUUGUUUAUCCGCAGCUACCUCUCGAGGUGGGGUGGGUUAAAGCUGAAACUAGAGGAGGAAUGAGCAGAUGUGAUGUUCCUGCCUGGUAGGGGAGCUGAUCGUUCCUUUGUCUACACUGAGCCAGGGGUCACCUGGCUGUCAGGAAUUGCCUGUGUGGCCAACGGACCAGGUAGUAGGUACCCUGAUCAGGCUACCUUGUCACAUAUGGGUUGUGAGUUUCAGUGCAGACUUCCUUAUAGACUUGGGCUGGACCUACGGGUCCUCUAUAACCUGGUCUUGUAGUCCUCUAUUACCUGGUCCUGUCAGCUUCUGCCCUCAUCUCCAAACCCUGCAAUAAAAGGCCCUCCCACCCCAGCACCCUGCUAGUUCACACCUCUACCCAGCACCCUGCUAGUUCACACCUCUGCCCAGCACCCUGCUAGUUCACACCUCUGCUCUCAUGCUGUUCCUCUUCCAGAUCAACAUUAUCCCUUCCAAAUGCCUUUUUUCCCUGCCACCUCCAGGGAGAGGGAAUGCUGGCUUCUUUGCUCCUCUUUUACUGACCUAGGGGCAAGUCUCUUCCCUUUAAGCCUUGGGGAAUUUUUUUUUUUUUUUUUUUUUUUUGAGACAGGGUCUCAUUCUGUCUCCCAGGCUGGAGUGCAGUGGCCCAAUCUCAGCUCACUGCAAGCUCUGCCUCCCAGGUUCAAAUGAUUCUCCUGCCUCAGCCUCCCAAAGUAGCUGGGAUUACAGGCAUGCGCCACCACACCUGGCUACUUUUUGUAUUUUUACCAGAGAUGGGGUUUCACCAUGUUAGCCAGGAUGGUUUCAAUCUCCUGACCUCAUGAUCUGCCCACCUUGGCCUCCCAAAGUGCUCUGUCGCCCAGGCUGGAGUGCAAUGGCACGAUCUCGGCUCACUGCAACCUCCGCCUCUUGGGUUCAAGUGAUACAGUCCUUGAGCUGCUGCACCUGGCCAAGCCUCAGUUUUGUCUGUAAAAUGAGGAGUAGGGAUGGGACAGUUAGACCAGGUUCCAUUUCUGUCUUAAUGUAGUUCUAAAUUAUUUCACUAGAGGACAGAACAGCUAGAGUAGAAGUGGAUUAUUAAGUAGAACUGAGCAAGAAUGAGCUGAAACCUCCACAUAUUGCAAACACCCUGUACCUUCUCCAAAGUUAGAGCAGGCAAGCAUUAUGCAAAUGUUUUAUAAACUGAUGUGUCCUAGCCCCAAUUAAUAUGUUGUAGCAAAUCAUAAUGCUAAGUUAAUACUUUGAGUGGCUAAUGGAUGUAUAAUAGCCAACUAAAAAAAUUUCUAAGCUACUUCAUAAUGUAGUAUUCCAAGCAGCACUCCAUAGUGUACAGCAUGCUGCUUAUAUGAAAACCUUUUCAACAAUUUUGUAUUUCACUUAAAAAUGCAGGAGAGGCUGGGCACGGUGGCUCAAGCUUGUAAUCCCAAC
rnacentral:lncRNA from 1 species